rnacentral:rRNA from 1 species
AGCGGCGGACGGGUGAGUAAUGUCUGGGAAACUGCCUGAUGGAGGGGGAUAACUACUGGAAACGGUAGCUAAUACCGCAUAACGUCGCAAGACCAAAGAGGGGGACCUUCGGGCCUCUUGCCAUCAGAUGUGCCCAGAUGGGAUUAGCUAGUAGGUGGGGUAAUGGCUCACCUAGGCGACGAUCCCUAGCUGGUCUGAGAGGAUGACCAGCCACACUGGAACUGAGACACGGUCCAGACUCCUACGGGAGGCAGCAGUGGGGAAUAUUGCACAAUGGGCGCAAGCCUGAUGCAGCCAUGCCGCGUGUGUGAAGAAGGCCUUCGGGUUGUAAAGCACUUUCAGCGAGGAGGAAGGUGGUGAGCUUAAUACGCUCAUCAAUUGACGUUACUCGCAGAAGAAGCACCGGCUAACUCCGUGCCAGCAGCCGCGGUAAUACGGAGGGUGCAAGCGUUAAUCGGAAUUACUGGGCGUAAAGCGCACGCAGGCGGUUUGUUAAGUCAGAUGUGAAAUCCCCGGGCUCAACCUGGGAACUGCAUUUGAAACUGGC